GCCCGGUUAGCUCAGUUGGCUAGAGCGUCCGGCUUACAUCCGGAAGGUCGGGGGUUCGAGUCCCUCACCGGGCA
rnacentral:tRNA from 1 species